rnacentral:lncRNA from 1 species
UCAAUUUGUUAAAUUCAAUCUCUUAUUUAAUUUAAUUUCUGGCAUUUUCCUUCAAUACAUCUUUGAUGCAGACAGUGGGAACCAUUCCUCUGUGGAAAAAAAAAUACGGCAGCCAUAACAUAACGCUGUGCUGCUGCUUGUUAUGCCAACUUUAUUAUACAUAAUACCAAGAAAACUUUUCAAACCAAAUGCAACAGGUUUAUGCAGCUAUCGUCUAAGCUUCUCACAGAACAAUUUCAAGCUAGGCAAGAGAUAUGAGAGAUUUGGAGAACAAGGAGUUCAGAAAAUAAAGUUUAACCAUGCAGAAAUGGAUUAAUUCAUCACUGUUACUGAGCAGUGUAUAAGCUGGUAUGCUGUUACUAUAAAAAAAAGACUACGUUCACUGCUUAGUUUGUAAAGGACGACAAGAGGAGCGUUGCUGCAGCAUCUCCGAUCCAGUCUUCAACAGUGAGCAGUGCCUAUUUCUAAUCAGCAUAAGUGCCGGAAAGUGACAUAAAACUCAGGCAGUAAGCAGCAAGUGCCAUGCACCUCGAGCGCAAUUAUCAGCCCGGUCUAAGGAUGCCACUAACAGACGGCAGAGGAUUUCACCGGACAAAACCCCCAAAUUUGCCUGCCUUUCGACCCGGCCUCACAAACCCCGAGGUGCGCAGCUGUGCUUCCCUGUCGGAGGAGAAGCGAGGUACAUUCAGCCUGCUCUCAGCCGAUGCAAGGUUUGAAGCAAUGUCUCCAUCUCUGAACAUGAGCAGAAGAAGAAAAUUGAAGCAGUUUUCCAAUCUAGUUACUGGAUCACUGGUGAGGGAAAAGCUGGUAAAACAGAUGAAAGCGUCGUGUGGACUGGACUUGAUCUGUGGACUACCUGUAGAACCCGCAGAACUCAUCAGCAUCCCCUCUACUGCUUAUAUUCUACUUCAUGUAAAGGUUGUUGCUAGUUCUGGAAGAAAAAAACAAGCUUGCAAACAGAAAACCAAUUUGCUUAAAGCUUACCUUACACUGAAAGUUGUGGGCACACGGAGCAGAGCUGAAAUAUCAAGUUUGUGCUGUUUGAAGCAGAUGCCCUGGCAGAAGCAAAUAAGGAACCAUCAACGGCAUGCCGCUCCAAAGGGAAGGGGUGCUGUGAACUAAGCCUGGCAACAAGGCAGGCAGAGGAGUGGCCUUACCAGCAAAGAUGAUGGUACCUGAGCAAAACAAGAAGAGCAGGUCCAAGGGACAGUAAUUAGGAUCAGCCAAAAGACCAGGUUGCUGCAGAAGUUCGUGGGGAUGAGGCAGGUCUGAAGUUGAGUCAAUCCUAAGGGUUGGGUCAGGUUUGGGAUCAACAGGGUGCAUGGCUUGGAUGCAGUGCACCUCGGAUAGCUCCCCUUCUCUUUUUGGCCUGUACAAGGGAAGACUAGCCUCCCAUCUUUAAUAGUUAAACUCACCUGCAGUCCUCGAACAAAACUUAGUACAGAGAUUUGCUCCAUCCCUGGACCACUGGACCGUCUGGGCAUUAGUUCUGCUCCUGAAUUUAAUAUGCUACAAGAGCAAGCCUGGUGAACCUAUUUUAAGGGAUUAUCAGUGAAUAUAUUUCCAUAUAAAUUUUUAAAAGUGUUUUUUUUUUAAGGAUGAUGUAGCCUUCUACAUCUUUAUUAUUGGAAUGUAACAUUUCCAUUGUGAUAUUUUUCUUUUCUGGGUUCAGACCUCUUCAAAAUAAUGAGAAAUCAGAUGGUUCGGGUAACUAAUGCUUGCUUACGUGCUGAGAUAGAUGUUGCUGAAUGUGCUGAAGACAAUAAAAUAAUUAUUUUACUUCUUGUAAGCA